rnacentral:misc_RNA from 1 species
CCGAGUACCGGGUCUCCGGGCCCUGCUCCCACCCUCUGUGUACCUACCUCUUUUUCGUUGCCUCGGCGGGGUCGAUCCUGCGCGGCCCCUGCGGGCUGUGUGGGGGGACCUGCCGGGGGGACACACACAAACUCUAAUUUAACGUCGAGUCUGAGAAAACACAAAUAAGUCA